CCUACGGGUGGCAGCAGUGGGGAAUAUUGGGCAAUGGGCGCAAGCCUGACCCAGCCACGCCGCGUGAAGGAAGAAGGCUUUCGGGUUGUAAACUUCUUUUCUCAGGGACGAAAAAGGUGACGGUACCUGAGUAAUAAGCCACUGCUAACUACGUGCCAGCAGCCGCGGUAAUACGUAGGUGGCAGUCAUUAGCCGGAUUUAGUGGGUGUAAAGGGCGUGUAGGCGGGAGCGCAAGUCAGAUGUGAAAACUCAGGGCUCAACCCUGGGCCUGCAUUUGAAACUGUGUUUCUUGAGUGCUGGAGAGGUAAGCGGAAUGCCUGGUGUAGCGGUGAAAUGCGUAGAUAUACGGAGGAACACCAGUUGCGAAGGCGGAUUGCGGGACAGUAACUGACGCUGAGGCGCGAAAGCGUGGGGAGCAAACAGGAUUAGAUACCCCAGUAGUC
rnacentral:rRNA from 1 species